rnacentral:rRNA from 1 species
UACGAAGGGGGCUAGCGUUGCUCGGAAUCACUGGGCGUAAAGGGUGCGUAGGCGGGUUUUUAAGUCAGGGGUGAAAUCCUGGAGCUCAACUCCAGAACUGCCUUUGAUACUGAAGAUCUUGAGUUCGGGGAGAGGUGAGUGGAACUGCGAGUGUAGAGGUGAAAUUCGUAGAUAUUAGGAAGAACACCAGUGGCGAAGGCGGCUCACUGGCCCCGGUACUGACGCUCAUGUGCGAAAGCGUGGGGGAGCAAACAGG